GAAAAAAAUAAACCUUCAAUUAACGAUAGUUAAGCAAUUAUUGUUAAUAAAAGCUGAAAAACAAGAUUUACUGGAGAGGAAAAAAUGCCAUUUUCUUUGUCUUGGUUUCUGGCAACCUCAGUUGAUGGAAGGAGCUUCCCUCCUUUGGACCCGGAGACCAAGGAUGAAUUCUGGAGCAUCCAUUAUGUGACCAAGGGCCGUCUAGAUCAGGAAAAUGGGAGAGCUCAACCAAGUUCAAAGAAGAGUGCCAAAUGGGAGAGACCCGUCCAGACUAGGCACGAAGAGACAAUGAAUAAAGUAUGUUGAUGACCUUUCCUCUAUAUGAGGCACUUACCCAUGAUUCCU